AUGGGGCGCCCAGACACCCGGGGUCCCUUAUCUGGGGACAUUGGGUUCAUCUGGGUGCUCUAUGGGGUGACUUGGUCCCUCUAUGGGGUGACUUUGAUUCCUCUAUGGGGUGACUUGGGUCCUCUAUGGGGUGCUCAGCCACUUGGGUGCCCCAUUUGGGGACACUGGGGUCACCUGGAUCCUCUAUGGGGUGAGUUUGGCCUCUCUGUGGGGCACCCAGACACCUGGGGUCCCCCAUUUGGGGACAUUGGGGUCAUCCGGGUGCUCUGUAGGGUGAUUUGGGUCUUCUAUGGGGCAGCCAGACACCUGGGACCCACAUAUGGGGACGUGUGGGUCACCUGGGUCCUCUACGGGGUCACCUGGGUCCUCUAUGGGGUGACUUGGUCCCUCUAUGGGGACAUGUGGGUCGUCUAUGGGGCAGCCGGACACCUGGGACCCACAUCUGGGGACGUGUGGGUCCUCUAUGGGGCAGCCAGACACCUGGGACCCACAUCUGGGGACAUGUGGGUCCUCUAUGGGGCAGCUGGAUGCCUGGGUCUCUUCUAUGGGGAGAUGUGGGUCCUCUAUGGGGCAGCCGGACACCUGGGACCCACAUAUGGGGACAUGUGGGUCACCUGGGUCCUCUAUGGGGUGACUUGGUCCCUCUAUGGGGAGAUGUGGGUCCUCUAUGGGGCAGCCAGACACCUGGGUCCCUUCUAUGGGGACGUAUGGGGCCUCUAUGGGGCACCCGGACACCUGGGACCCCCAUCUGGGGACAUGUGGGUCACCUGGGUCCUCUAUGGGGUGACUUGGUCCCUCUAUGGGGAGAUGUGGGUCGUCUAUGGGGCACCCGGACACCUGGGACCCCCAUCUGGGGACGUGUGGGUCACUGGGGGCCUCUCUAUGGGGCACAGACACCCGGGUCCCUUCUGUGGGUGCUCGGGGGUCCCCAGCCCCACAGAUCUGGGUCCUCGGCCCCACACUUUAGGGGUCCCCCAGCCCCACAGAUCUGCCCCACGGAUCUGGGUCUUCAGCCCCACACUUUCGGGGUCCCCCCAGCCCCACAGAUCAGCCCCACACUUUAGGGGUCCCCCAGCCCCACAGAUCUGCCCCACG
rnacentral:lncRNA from 1 species